rnacentral:misc_RNA from 1 species
CACUAAUAAUAUAUAUCGUCACGUUUACACUUACUACAGGCUAGGCUACAACAUCCAUCUAAUCAAGGACCCUAUAAUUUUACUCCCGACUACAUGCGACUUUAAGAUGGCAGCACAAUGAGGACAACCAUAUAUAUAUACACUCUCCAGCCAUGAAUGCUAGUUUCUAGUAUAAAUAUUUACACAUACCCAACUCUCCAUUUUCGUCAGCAUAAGAGUUAGCGCAUCGAUCUGAGCUAUACUUUCAGAGCUAGAAAACUUGCUUUUCCUCUCCGAUCACAUUAAGAGACAUAUAUGGACCUCCACAAAUCAGGUUACAUCAAUUCUCUGCUCUAUAUAUGUAUAUAUGUAGACCAUAACAUAAUACCCUCAUCUAUUUAGCAUUCCAGGAGGGACAAUGUCCCCAAGCAGUCCUUCAUCUAUUGGAAUCUGUGGGGUUAGCUCUCUCAGUGUACCGGAUUCAACUGUUUGAACGGGUAUUUGUUGUGACCGUGUAAUAGUUGGAGGACUUUCUCUAGUUAACUGAAUUCCAGGAUAAUAGAAUUGCGAAACUGGGGGAGUCAAGUGGUUGACUAAUGUCGCUUCAUGGCUAAUUAUUCCACCUCGGGGAAAACCAACGGUAUGGUGGCAGUGCUGUCCUUCGUAUGUAGUAAUCACAAUGGUGGGAUCUUCAGAAGACCGUUCAACCCUCUUUUUCACGGUACAUUUGCUAUUUGUGCAACGAUAGUAGCUCCUG